rnacentral:rRNA from 1 species
CUACGGGGUGCAGCAGUGAGGAAUAUUGCACAAUGGGGGGAACCCUGAUGCAGCAACGCCGCGUGGAGGAUGACGCAUUUCGGUGUGUAAACUCCUUUUAUAUGUCAAGAAAAUGACGGUAGCAUAUGAAUAAGCACCGGCUAACUCCGUGCCAGCAGCCGCGGUAAUACGGAGGGUGCAAGCGUUACUCGGAAUCACUGGGCGUAAAGGACGCGUAGGCGGGUUGGAAAGUCGGGUGUGAAAUCCUACAGCUUAACUGUAGAACUGCACUUGAAACUUCUAAUCUAGAGUAUGGGAGGGGGAGAUGGAAUUAGUGGUGUAGGGGUAAAAUCCGUAGAUAUCACUAGGAAUACCUAAAGCGAAGGCGAUCUCCUGGAACAUUACUGACGCUAAGGCGUGAGAGCGUGGGGAGCAAACAGGAUUAGAUACCCCAGUAGUC